rnacentral:rRNA from 1 species
UACAGAGGUCCCAAGCGUUGUUCGGAUUCAUUGGGCGUAAAGGGAGCGUAGGUGGUCGGGUAAGUCAGAUGUCAAAUUUCGGUGCUCAACACCGAAUCGCAUUUGAUACUGCCUGGCUAGAGGAAUUGAGAGGAGGCCGGAAUUCACGGUGUAGCAGUGAAAUGCGUAGAUAUCGUGAGGAAGACCAACGGCGAAAGCAGGCCUCUGGAAAUUUCCUGACACUGAGGCUCGAAGGCCAGGGGAGCAAACGGG